ACCUCAAGGUUUUUAUCUGGAUCUUUGUCAUCUCAGAACAACAAGGAUUCUGGGCACAUCCUAUGGCUGGAUGAAGGUAGACUCACAAUUCAGCAGCAACCUGGAAAGAGGAAGAUGACGAGACUCAGCACUUCAGAAGAUGGGAAAAAAACCCCUAUGCUAUGAGCAAUCUAGCCAAAUAUAUAUGGAUAUAACUGUGUAACUUAGGACAGUGAAGCUACCCAUUCACUGAAGGUCAUAUAAGGAGAAGGCUAUGGAGUGCUCACCAGGGAUGGGAGUCUAGAGACACAGGUGAGAUAAAGAUUUCUGGAGAAAUCUGGGUUCUGAGAAGCCUCAGACUUUAAAGGAUGACACAGGACUUGGUCUAAUGCCUCUUAAUGGAAUGUCCUGACUGGUUUACUGCAAUCUUUGUCACCUGGGAAGCAGAACUUUUCAUCCUCUAAUAGAACUUUUAAAGAAGUUGAAUGAAAGAAUUGGUAAUCUCAUCAAAAGGACCCUUUGAAGUGUUAUCUUCCUGCUUUUUUUUUCUUUUGAACUUCAAGAUCUUGAAAGAUUCGGUCCUUGCUGGAACUAAUACUUAAUUCUUAACUAAAUUGACCUGAAGCAAUUCCUUGAUCAUGAUCAAAAGUGGUGACAAUCCUGCUCCUGAUGCAUUGUUAAAUCUAUACCUGAAAGAAUGUAUAAUGUUAGGAAAUGAAGUCUCAUCUGUCUUGUUGGAAAUUAUUCUUCAGCUUUGGUUGUCCUUCUGGCAUAUUGUCAUUGACACCAGAAGUUCCUUCUGAGCAGCACUAUAGUCCAAGGAAUAAGACAGCUUUAGACUCCAAGGAGUUAAGAGUCCUGAGUGACCAGCUCACCAACUUAAGCAAGUGAAAAAAUUGAUGCCCCUCCAAAGGCCAGGGCUCUUCAAACUGCAGUCUGGACUCUGGCAGUGACUGUAUCCAGACCUGAAUUGCAGAUGAUCUGGUUGAGUACUGGAGAUGCUACUACACUGACAGGUAGUUGAAGACAGAUCAGGGAGAAGUUUUCCCCUUUGAUUU